AUACGUAGGGUGCAAGCGUUAAUCGGAAUUACUGGGCGUAAAGCGUGCGCAGGCGGUUUUGUGAGGCAGAGGUGAAAUCCCCGGGCUCAACCUGGGAAAUGCCUUUGUGACUGCAAGGCUGGAGUGCGGGAGAGGGGGGUGGAAUUCCGCGUGUAGCAGUGAAAUGCGUAGAUAUGCGGAGGAACACCGAUGGCGAAGGCAAUCCCCUGGGCCUGCACUGACGCUCAUGCACGAAAGCGUGGGGAGCAAACAGGAUUAGAUACCCUGGUAGUCCACGCCCUAAACGAUGUCAACUGGUUGUUGGGGAUUUAUUUUCUCAGUAACGAAGCUAACGCGUGAAGUUGACCGCCUGGGGAGUACGGCCGCAAGGUUAAAACUCAAAGGAAUUGACGGGG
rnacentral:rRNA from 1 species